rnacentral:misc_RNA from 1 species
ACAUGGUAGAUGUUCAUAUUACCUUUGCCGUUGUUGUACUCGAACCAGUGCCCGGUAAUGCAGCGCUUCUUCCAUUUGCCAAGCUCGCCCCAUGUUUUGGUUCGAAGCUGCUCUGAGGUGUUAGCUGUUACAACACCCUUGCAGAACGGGCGGGUGCUCAUGAUGUAGAGAAUUACCCAUGCAGUGAGUGCACUUUUCCCGAUGCCGUGACCUGAGCUUGUUGCGCAGCGGUAUGCUUCUACUGGCUUUACACCAUCAAAGU